rnacentral:rRNA from 1 species
GAUGAACGCUAGCUACAGGCUUAACACGUGCAAGUCGAGGGGAAACGACAUCGAAAGCUUGCUUUUGAUGGGCGUCGACCGGCGCACGGGUGAGUAACGCGUAUCCAACCUGCCCAUCACUUGGGGAUAACCUUGCGAAAGUAAGACUAAUACCCAAUGAUAUCUCUAGAAGACAUCUGAAAGAGAUUAAAGAUUUAUCGGUGAUGGAUGGGGAUGCGUCUGAUUAGCUUGUUGGCGGGGUAACGGCCCACCAAGGCAACGAUCAGUAGGGGUUCUGAGAGGAAGGUCCCCCACAUUGGAACUGAGACACGGUCCAAACUCCUACGGGAGGCAGCAGUGAGGAAUAUUGGUCAAUGGGCGAGAGCCUGAACCAGCCAAGUAGCGUGCAGGAAGACGGCCCUAUGGGUUGUAAACUGCUUUUAUAAGGGAAUAAAGUGAGAGUCGUGACUCUUUUUGUAUGUACCUUAUGAAUAAGGACCGGCUAAUUCCGUG